CAUGCAAGUCGAACGAUGAAAGUCGUUUUGAUAUCUUCGGAUUGAUAAACUUCUGGAUUAGUGGCGGACGGGUGAGUAACGCGUGAGCAAUCUGCCUUACACAAAGGGAUAGCCUCGGGAAACCGGGAUUAAUACCAUAUGAUAUCUACGAGCCGCAUGGCCUAUAGAUUAAAGAAUUUCGGUGUAAGAUGAGCUCGCGUCCCAUUAAUUAGUUGGUGAGGGUAACGGCCCACCAAGAUAGCGAUGGGUAGCCGAUCUAAGAGGAUGACCGGCCACAUUGGAACUGAGAAACGGUCCAAACUCCUACGGGAGGCAGCAGUGGGGAAUAUUGCACAAUGGGGGAAACCCUGAUGCAGCGACGCCGCGUGAGCGAUGAAGGCUUUCGAGUCGUAAAGCUCUGUCCUAUGGGAAGAUAAUGACGGUACCAUAGAAGAAAGCCCCGGCUAAUUACGUGCCAGCAGCCGCGGUAAUACGUAAGGGGCGAGCGUUGUCCGGAAUUAUUGGGCGUAAAGAGUGCGUAGGCGGCAAAUUAAGUCAGAUGUGAAAACUAAGGGCUCAACCCAUAGAUUGCAUCUGAAACUGAUAUGCUUGAGUCAAGGAGAGGAAAGUGGAAUUCCUAGUGUAGCGGUGGAAUGCGUAGAUAUUAGGAGGAAUACCGGUGGCGAAGGCGACUUUCUGGACUUGAACUGACGCUGAGGCACGAAAGCGUGGGGGGCAAACAGGAUUAGAUACCCUGGUAGUCCACGCCGUAAACGAUGAGUGCUAGGUGUCUGCUCAUAAGAGUAGGUGCCGUACGUUAACACAUUAAGCACUCCGCCUGGGGAGUACGUACGCAAGUAUGAAACUCAAAGGAAUUGACGGGGACCCGCACAAGCAGCGGAGCAUGUGGUUUAAUUCGAGGCUACGCGAA
rnacentral:rRNA from 1 species